CGUUGUUGGGGCAGGCGGAGCUGGGCUGCGAAGCAGCGUUGGUCGCUGCAAUACUGCCUGGCUCGCGCAGGACCGUUGGAGCCUCUCCCAGGGCCGGAGAAGGUUUUCUCUCCAGGUGUCUGACUGAGAUCAGGGCUUCUAUUGGACUGAGAUCAGGGCUCCUAUCGUACAGAGCAUGGCCCUCUUCUGCCAGGUGCUGCAGAGACUCCAGGGGCCGGUGACCGUCGAGGAGGCGACUGUGUAUUUCACCAG